rnacentral:rRNA from 1 species
CCUGGCGGCCAUAGCGCCGUGGAACCACCUGAUCCCAUGCCGAACUCAGAAGUGAAACGCGGUAGCGCCGAUGGUAGUGUGGCAUUCGCCAUGCGAGAGUAGGACACUGCCAAGC